rnacentral:tRNA from 1 species
GGCCCCAUCGUCUAGUGGCUAGGACACCACGCUUUCAAUGUGGGAACCCGGGUUCGAUUCCCGGUGGGGCUACCA